rnacentral:rRNA from 1 species
CCUAACGUGGAUUAGAUACCCGGGUAGUCCACGCCGUAAACGAUGGAUGCUAGUCGUGGGGGGUAUCGACCCCCUCUGUGACGCAGCUAACGCAAUAAGCAUCCCGCCUGGGGAGUACGGCCGCAAGGCUAAAACUCAAAGGAAUUGACGGGGGCCCGCACAAGCAGCGGAGCGUGUGGUUCAAUUCGAUGCAACGCGAA